UGGCGAAGUCAACAAGAGUUUGCCGGUCCUUACGAAUGACUGCUUCUAUCCAUCACUACCUGAAUGGGUAGCACUGUUUCCAUUGCAGCUUGGAGAAAUAAUCCAACUUUGAUUCAGCCCAAAAAUUUUUAUAAAUGUCAAAUUGCACAAUUACAUGAUCAGUGGAAACAGAUGGUGUUAUGCUAGAAGGAGGACCAUGUUUAACGGUGGACAUCGUGUGUUCAGGGUUGUGUGCCUUGCUAGUUUGCCUCCACACAAACUAGGAAGUUUAAUUCUGGUCUCAUCUGACCAGAGCAUGCAUUACUCUACACGUUUACGUGAAGUUCACAUUAUGAAGUAGAAUAUGUCUCAUCAAUGAGACUACAAGAUGAAUCGUCUGGACUCAAAUAGAACAAAAACACUGGGAUUUCUGAUCUGUAAUUCGGGUUUCAAAAACAGAUGCUUUGUCGAGACAUUUUAAGUGAAAUGUUUUAUUGAAAGAGCACGCCCAGCUUGAGCAAAUUAUAACUAAAUAAAGGCAAAGAUGGGAAGAGGCCGGCCGAAAUGGA